rnacentral:rRNA from 1 species
GACGAACCGUACGAACGUUAUUCGGAAUCACUGGGCUUAAAGGGUGCGUAGGCGGCGCGGAAAGUUGGGUGUGAAAUCCCUCGGCUCAACCGAGGAACUGCGUCCAAAACUGCCGUGCUCGAGGGAGACAGAGGUGAGCGGAACUUAGGGUGGAGCGGUGAAAUGCGUUGAUAUCCUAAGGAACACCGGUGGCGAAAGCGGCUCACUGGGUCUCUUCUGACGCUGAGGCACGAAAGCUAGGGGAGCAAACAGG